CUAACAGACCGGCGUGUAUACGUCAGUGAAGGCUGGUCGGUUUAAANGUCUCAACCCCUGGCCGGUCGUUUUACAGCUCCUGCAGUCGAGCGGGGAAGGUACUUGCUACCUGACCUACGGCGGACGGGUGAUUGCUUAGAAUCUGCCUAUAUGGGGGACACUCUCAAAAGGGAUAGCUAAUACCGCAUACGUCCUACGGGAGAAAGCAGGGGAUCUUCGGACCUUGCGCUAAUAGAUAGAGCCUAAGUCGGAUUAGCUAGUUGGUGGGGUAAAGGCCUACCAAGGCGACGAUCUGUAGCGGGUCUGAGAGGAUGAUCCGCCACACUGGGACUAGAGACACGGCCCAGACUACCUACGGGAGGCAGCAGUGGGGAAUAUUGGACAAUGGGGGGAACCCUGAUCCAGCCAUAGACCGCGUAGUAGUGAAGAAGGCCUAUAUAGGUUUGUAAAAGCACUUUAAAGCGACGGAAGGAGAGCUACUUUAGUUAAUACCUAGAGAUAGCUGGACGGUAACCUUCGAGCAGAAAUAAAGCACCGGCUAACUCUNUGCCAGCAAGACGCGGUAAAUACAGAAGGGUUGCAAGCGUNAAUCGAGAUUUUAANCUU
rnacentral:rRNA from 1 species